GGCCGCUCCGGCGGGGCUGCCCAGCGGCUCCUGCACGUCCGAGCCGGGCCCGGGCGGAGUCCGCAGGAUCUUCAUGGGCUCCCCGCUGGGGGAAGCUCGUCUGGAGCUCGGGAGCGGGCGGGACGCUCGCCGUCGUUUCAGAGCCUGGGGUUCGAAUCCCAGCUCCGCCAUAGAGACUUGGCGACCUUGGAUGACCGGUCUCGGGGCCUCAGUUUCCCCUCUCGGGUGAGACACCCAGGAGGCGGAGGAAAGGUUGCGGACCCUACGGGGCGAUCCACCGCUGCCCUGCACGGAGCUGACGCUCAACAAGGGCUGUUGAAUCAAUGUGCACUUUCCUGUUGGUCACAGAACUGAGUCAAGAACUGGGAUGGAAAACAACUUCGCAGUUAAUGUUGGAACUCAGCUCAAAACUCUAUAACUCGUGGCAGACUCUUUCCUCAUGAUAUGACUUAAACUUCUGGUAUCUAUCCGUGUGUUCUGAAAAAGAAUUAAGGAGACUAUAUGUCAUGAGACAUUUUGCAAUAAAGCAAGGCAUAUAGAAAUCUUGAGCCUAAUUUGCUCUCAACGAAUUAUCAAUUAAAAACUCAGAAUCUCAAAGAACAUCCAAAACAAAAUGAGGGCCUAUCCCUGCUCUCUGGAAACUUGAUGUCUAACGAGAAGCAAUGUUUUCAGGUACUGAUGUGCAUGCAUACAAAAUUGCUUCAGUCGUGGCUGACUGUGCGACCCUAAGGACUGUAGUCUGACAGGCUCCUCUGUCCAUGGGAUUCUCUAGUUUCUUACAGGUGGAACCGUCACGAGGCUGUUACCAGGCAGAUAACUGAGGUGACAGAAAUUCUCUAUUAGUAAAAGCUAAGACCAUGCUAAUAGCGGUCUGAUGUCCUGACCUACUCAGACAGAAAGAGAGAACAAACAACCCAAAUGGGUCAGAUGUCCUGGCAGAGGGCCAAAGCACAGAGACCCUAUGGCCAGUAAACUACCCUUCAGCACGGUGGAGCACUUCUCUUUUCACCUUAUGUGCUUAAAAAAUCAACCUCGGCUGUCCACAAGACAGCGCAUCACUAUGGUGAUUGCCAUCAUCACUCACAAUUUAACUAAAUGGUACGGGGAAAUCAUAAACUUCAAAAAUAAAAUGAUUAUUUCUUGGAAACCUGAGUUAAAUGCUUUGACAUGACUUGAUAAAAGCAAGUCAUUAAAAAAAAAUCACUCUCACAUUAUCAGGACAACUAAUAACUAUAAAAGAUUUGGGGAAAAAUGAUAAAAUUUAAGAUUUUUAAAGUCAGACUGCUUUUCAAGUAUCUUUACAUUUUGAUCCACCAUGUGGAAAUUGCAGAUGAUUCCCCAUGUGAAGUUCUUAGUCCUAAGUCGGCAUAUU